AUACGAAGGGUGCGAGCGUUAAUCGGAAUUACUGGGCGUAAAGCGCGCGUAGGUGGUUUGGUAAGCGAUCUGUGAAAGCCCCGGGCUUAACCUGGGAAUUGCAGGUCGAACUGCCAGGCUAGAGUAUGGUAGAGGGGUGUGGAAUUUCCUGUGUAGCGGUGAAAUGCGUAGAUAUCGGGAGGAACACCAGUGGCGAAGGCGGCUUCCUGGCACAAUACUGACGCUCAUGUGCGAAAGCUAGGGCAGC
rnacentral:rRNA from 1 species